ACGGAAGGCAGCAGUGGGGGAUAUUGCACAAUGGGGGAAACCCUGAUGCAGCGACGCCGCGUGAGUGAAGAAGUAUUUCGGUAUGUAAAGCUCUAUCAGCAGGGAAGAUAAUGACGGUACCUGACUAAGAAGCCCCGGCUAACUACGUGCCAGCAGCCGCGGUAAUACGUAGGGGGCAAGCGUUAUCCGGAUUUACUGGGUGUAAAGGGAGCGUAGGCGGUCUUGCAAGUCAGAAGUGAAAGCCCGGGGCUCAACCCCGGGACGGCUUUUGAAACUGCCGGACUAGAUUUCAGGAGAGGUAAGCGGAAUUCCUAGUGUAGCGGUGAAAUGCGUAGAUAUUAGGAGGAACACCAGUGGCGAAGGCGGCUUACUGGACUGACAAUGACGCUGAGGCUCGAAAGCGUGGGGAGCAAACAGGAUUAGAUACCCUGGUA
rnacentral:rRNA from 1 species